UACGUAGGAGGCAAGCGUUGUCCGGAAUUACUGGGCGUAAAGCGCGUGUAGGUGGUGGGACAAGUCUGCUGUGAAAGCGCCUGGCUUAACCGGGCGAGGUCGGCGGAAACUGUCGCACUCGAGGACGGUAGAGGGGGGUGGAAUUCCCGGUGUAGUGGUGAAAUUCGUAGAGAUCGGGUGGAACACCAGUGGCGAAGGCGCCUGUCUGGCUGACAACUGACGCUGAGACUCGAAAGCAUGGGGAGCAAACAGG
rnacentral:rRNA from 1 species